GGGAAAAGGUGGCUCUUUCAACAUUCAAAAAUACGUUCUGAUCAGCAAGGAGAAUAGCAAAGCUGCAGAUCUUUAAUGUUGACUAAAAUGGCCCCCAGGCAAAAUUUCCCUUCUUCCCUCCCUGUGCUUUUACAGGGAGGUGGGUGAGCCGACUGAAAGAGAAGCAUAUUAGUGUGGUUAAGGGGGGGUAAUUUUAAGGAAGCCAACGGCAGCCAAGCACCACUAGUCUCAAGGUACCUUCCCUUUGUCCUUUCAGGAUCUGGUGGCACAGAGCACUCGGCAGGUAUUUUGCCGACCUUCAUGCGCAAUGUUUCAUAAAGCACAUUCGGAUUUGCGUUUGCCCACACGUUUUGGAAAUUUUUCAGCAUUGUUGGCUGCGUGAAAGGAAGCUACAGUUUUGCAUUGUGUGGUAUUUUCUUCUCCUGUCUCCUCCUUCCUCGUGUUUAUUGAAUCCUUUAUCAGAGAUGGAAAGGUGCUGUUUUUUUUUAUUUUUUUCAGGGCUGUGGGUGGGCUGGCUCUCAAGGUAGAGAGCAGCUUGGUUAAUUUUCAGAACUAAUUUUUCUUUGGGCCACUCCAGUGGCAGCAACAGGCUUCAGAUGCGGCUUCCAUGGAAACAUACUGCCAUGGAAACCGAGAGGCUUGACAAUCCUGAAGAAAUAUUUGCUUGUACCCUUCCUUCCCUCCGUCGUUCCGUUUCCCAUGUGAUACAUGCGUGUCUGGUUACCCCUGCCAGAUUCGAUCAGUGCAUUCAAAAUGCUCCAAGCACAGAAAUGCAAUUCUCUCAGAAGAACACAAAACAAAAGUCCUAAAAGCAAUGGUGGCAUUUCACUGGCAUUGUUUGCACAAAAAGCUAUUGCGAGUCUGGAGGAAGAUGCCACUGAGCCACGUUCUGGUGGGAAAAAGCCCUAAAAGAAAUGCUUCAGCAUUAGAUUAUUUUAUGGGGACUGGCUGGAAUGGGCUGCUCUGGGGAAUCAGGUCCUGCACCCCAUCAAACAUAUUGACGCAUCCAGUGGUUAACAUAGAGAGAGAGCAGCAGUGCUUUGCUGGGUCCCUUCCAGCUGGUUCAUUUGAUGCUGCAUUUUCAGUUGCUGCGUGUCACAGCUGCUUUCACACUAACAUUGGUUAGCAAAGUUUGGCAGGGUGACAAGCAGCCACAGUUCAUCAACUUUGCUCCGAUCCAUUGUGGGGUGGGAGGGGGAAUGGGGCCUUCUGAAAUGUUUUGCUGUGCAAGAAGCAGGGCAAGGGCUCUGUGUGGCAGUGAGUGAGCCAAGUAGAUGAGAGUGAGGCUUUCUGUUUGAUCAAGAGCAAAGCUCGUAACACUGUGUGUGGUGAGUGAGGUAUGGGCCUUGUCUCCUCCACCGUUCCCUCACCCCAAAGCAUCCUGAACUGCAGAGACUGUUUCUGGUUAGCUGACCUGAAAAUAACAGUGCUUGCAGCUCCAGGCUGCAUUUAGGGAAAGCAAAAUUGCUUCCUGUAUUUCUUGCUCCCUUUUCCGCUCCUCUGUUUCACUCUGUGUUUCAUCCAGGUGUUUACCUUGCAGUAGCUUCAGAUCCAUUUGCUUAGCCCACAGGCUCCAGCAGAGUGCUGGGAUCUCUACAGACUUGUGAAAUGAAAUGGGGAGACAAAUCGUGGAGCUGUGUGCAGGAGGAGAGCUGACAGAUUAACACAGGUUGGUGAAUUGGGAACGUGGGGCCAGGUCCUGUCCUCCUCUGUCAGAGAACUGUGUGAUAGGAAAAAUUCUAAUGUGAACUGUUGCUACUUUAAUGGAUUUGCAAUGGGCAGUUAGAGCUGUACCUAUGUCUCCCUGUUGUAAUACUUUGCAUGGCCUAUGGGAUACUCAAAGUAGUGGACUUUUCUUAAUGCCACCUGUGCACGUUGUGUUUUGUUUCUGUGGGAACAUGCAAUUUUUGGAGAAAAAAUGCAUAUCCUUGCUGUGAAAACCUUUUGUGGAUCAAAUAAAUCCCAUGCCCAUCCUAAGCAUGGAGCUCUAGCACAAAGCUUCAGCAAGUGCUUGUCCCACAGUGGCUUGUUUCCUCUAGUACUGAGCUGUGUCAUAUCAUCGCUGCUCUGCGCAGCAGCCUUCAAGGAGUUAGGAUCCUUCCAGGCUGUGCUUGCAGCAGACAUGCAGUACUGUCCAGGCUAAAUGGGGGAUGCCAUCCAGAACAUUCUCUUUUUGUGAAAAGAUGGUGUCACUCCUGACUAUGGAAAAUUCCCUGUAUGUGCUACACGUCCUCCCACCAGCAGCUGCAUGCAGCUUUCCUCACGUCCUGGCUUGGAACUGCCUUGAAGGCCACCAUGCCCUCUGAUGCUGUUUCAUCAGAGCACUUUCCCUCUCCUUUCUGCAGGUGCUCUCAGCUUCAUCGCGAUGCAGGAAGGGGAGUCUACGAAACCUGUCUCCUUUCUGAUCGGUUGAUUUCAUUUUAAUUGAAACUGGAACAGACUUCACCCUCCAGGGUUUGGCCGCCCCAUUUCUUUUCAUUGAAGCCUCAACCACUUGAGCAGCGUUGCAAGCUAUCAUCCCCCUCUUCAUGCCAAAUGCCCAACUGUGGCAUCCAAUUUCUCCAUGCAGUCUCAUUGCAGAAAACCAGCAGCGAUCUCUGCUCUAGCAGCUUGAAUGCAGCCCUGGGGCUUGGGCUGCAACCACAGAACAGACUAUCUGCUUCCUAACCCAGCACACAGUCCUAGCCCCUUCUGCAAGGAGAAAGUGCCUCUCCCUGAAAACUCAGCUAUGUUUCUGCAAGUGUUUCUGCCACAAUUCUGCACUUUGGGAGAAAAAUAAAUGGCAUCAUGAAGGAACUCCUCAGAGUGGGGAAAGAGAGAGAAAAAAAAGAUAUGAAGUCAUUUGCAGGCAUCCUAUAUCCACUCAUAUCCAGAAUGGAGAAAGACCUCAGUGAAAUUCCUUUUUAUUUCUUUUUUUCUCUUUUUUCCUCCUCUUUAAUCAUUGCCAGUUUCCUCUUGCUAUUUUUGGAAAAAUUCUUGGCAUUUUCCUCCUCUUCUGCCCUUUCUUUCUUUCUCUCCAGUCUUGUGUGGAGCUGAGCAUUUCGGGGUGGGAAGGAGGCUUUGCCAAGUGCUUUGCUUUGUAACCAGCUUUGCUGCUGUCCUCAGACACCUGCAAGUCUCUCAGAAUUGCAAACCUCUUUUACAUAUAAAUAAGGUCUGCAAUGUUCAGGAGCUACGGUUAUGAGUUUAUAAGGGAAGUGAUCAGAUUAAUAGGGCAGCAAUGAGAGUGUUCAAUUAUACUGGCUUCUGAUUAAUUACCCUCUGUCAGACCACGUCAGCACACCUCCUAACUCUGGAAGCGCCUGAGAUCUGUGGAGGAAUGAGGCCUUUGCCUUAACCAAUGGCAAAUCCAAACAUGCCCCAGCACUAACAGAUAGUUUCUCCCACUCCUUGGUUCGGUGGGAAAAAAAGGUUGCCAAAGUCUCAUCCAAGUAUUUGAAGCCAUUUUGGACAAUUUGCUUUAAUCUCUUCUAAAAGACAUCCCUGGUAUUUGCAUUCUUUCUCAGCUUUUGCAUGUAAAUACGCUGAGCCCCUUGGGUGGGAAAAGCUCCCCAUCCCAACUCCAGCCACAUGCAGAGAGGCAUGUUGCUGUCUUACCCACUAGCAUCCACGCUUCUCUGCUAGCCAGAAAUAUUUCACCUGGUUGUGUUAAGGUUGCUCAGAUGUCUCGGUAUUUCCAGCCAUUAAAUUGCUUCUGAACACCCAGUGCUUUCCUCUCCUCUGGGAACAGUAGAAUGGAGGUCAAGUCUUUGCUCUUACAGCAGAAAUUCCAGUUGCUCUCUCAUGGCAUUUUUGCCUGCUAUUGAAUUUCUGCCCUGUUACAUUACUGAGGUUGUCAUCAUCUUUCUUCUGAUAUUGUAGUCCUCUUCAAAAUGGUGGCUCAGUGUCAUCAGCAGAUCUCCCUGCCUGGCUUCUCUUCCCAUCUUGGUCACCAGAUGAUUUAAUUGCUUGAUGGAUUGGGUUGUUGCUGCUUUCUCCUCGUUCACUAGAUCCUCUUCUGUCAGCACAACCGUGGCAUUAAAAAUCCUGGCUUCUGUGCAAAUCCCUCUGUUAGGAAGCUAGCAUGACUGAAGCUACUUGUACAGGAGCUGUAUAACUAAUCUCUUCACAAAAAUAUGCAAAAUCUGAUUGAAGAGUGUUUCUCAGUGAAAGAAUGAGCAUGUCUGGGAAUGAACGAGUGGGUGGUAGCCUGCCAUGUAGGCAGUGCUGCUCUUUCAAGCUUUGGAAUAGCUAAAGGACGUGCUUCCCAGAGCUCCAGAUUCAGGUUUUAUCUUCCUAACAAUGGCAAUUAAAAUAAGCAGAUACCUGUUGUUUAUAAAGCUUCAAAACACUUAAUGCCUUUUGCUUUAGUAUGGGAACUAUACAGCUGUAAGUAAAAGUAGAGAUCUUAUGUGUGUGUUUCUCUUCUGUUUUCUUCCCCAUUCCUGACAUGAUGCUGACAAGUUCAGAUUUCUUCCACUUUUGAUUACCAGUUGAUAUCUAAAUCCUGCAAAUUCGAUUUGUGAGCCCUCCAGAUAACACCCUUCCUCUCGCUGCCUGUGCUGCUUCUGGAGUAAAGAUGCUUGUCCAUGCACUGGUGGGAUUCUGCAGGGCUCCGUUUGGGUGCCCUUUAAUGGUGUCAUGAAUGACUUGGAUGCAAGAUUUGAAGAUAAACUAAGUAAACUUGUGGAUGAUGCUAAACUGUUGUCUCCCUCGAUGGCAGAGCGACCUUGCAGAGAAAACUGGGCAAAUUGGAGGGCUGGCAAUCACCAACUGCGUGAAGUUCAACAAGAGCCAAUGCCGGAUUCUGUACCCAGGACGAGGCGAGCACUUUCCUUUUGCUUUUCAGGUUACAUGAGGCUAGAAGCCAGACUUUUCGAUCAGGGUUUUGUUUUGUUUCAAAGCUUUGUUAAAAGAACAAGCUGCUACACAUCACCUCUUCUUGCCAUUGGCAUAUGCAAGGCAACUCGCUCCUCUCUCAUGGGCUGUUAGCUCUUCUGAAUUACAUCGUAUUUAUUGUGCAAUGAGAGCACACACAUAACCUGUUACUGGGGACCUGCAUAGUGAGUCGUUUGCAUGCUUAAAGCCUGUGACUGGAUGUGGAAGUUCUCCAGCACCAUCAGUUAUUCACAAGCUGCACAUAAACAGAUCCCUUAAAUUAUGCUUUUGGAAAUGUGUCCCCUCUUGAGCUUCUUCAUUAUCAGUUCAAGACUGUGACAAUAUGGUACAGUAUCUGAUUGAUGACUGCCAGCUUCUGCCUGCUUCUCUGCAGCCUUUGAGCCUUGCAUGAGUUCCUUAGAUGGGCUUAAUCCCUCAACUGAACUUCAAGAAAUGCUGCCAAACUUUCCCAAUAGCACCAAAGUCACUAAGCUUCCUUUCCCUCCCCACUCCUGUUGUGGCUUUCCUUUUCUUUCCAUGUGUUUUUUUUCUUCUGUUGAAUAAUUCAGCUAAUAGACUGGCACUUGAAUGCUCAAGAGCUGCAUGUUCCCUAAUGAGGGGAGCAGCUUGCCAACUUUUUUUUUAUCUUUCCAGUUGUUUGACUGCAAACCCAACAUCGUUAACAAAUCAACAUGGAAUAGCUGUGGAAAUACAGAACAAAUUGUGGUUGUCUUAAGUGUGCAAGGAAUUAAAAAUAGAAUGAAAGAAACCCAAACGCUGCACAGGAAAAGAAAUAUGGGAGUGAAGUGUGCCUUGAAGGAAGGGAUGAUGAUACAUAUAAAUCUCAUUGCAACCUCACUAUGCCUUGCAGUAUCUGCAACCAGGAAUGAUAGAUGGGAAAAUGGGUGUUAACUCUCCCAAGAGACGAAGCUGUGCUAAUUCGGAAGAUAGGUCUAGGUGAAUCUGUUGGCAGCUCUGCUUUUUUCCAUGUUGAUGUGAAUCAAGGUUUGCAUGCAGAGAAUUUUUUUCUUUCCCAGCUUGAUUUUUUUAAAGCCUGAAGUUUUACAGUCCAUGUGACACAGGGCAGAGUUAAAAAACAACUGUGACGUUUUGCAGGUGGAUGAAUCCCAAAUUGGCCUGAGUUUGUUCAGACUACGAUUCACAAUGAUAUGUUUCAGAUGUAUGGUUAGUCCUUGGCUCUCCAUGCAUUUUUUCUUUCCUGGAUCCCCAUCUCUGCUUACUGGAGCUGCUCUUGGUGCUUGAAUGGUCCUACCAGUUCUCCAAGCAGGCACAAACAUCCACCUCUCUCUGAAUACCUGUCUCAUCUGUUUAAAUUAAAUCACUGCUUCAGAGAAGAACUUCAACUUCAGGGAACAGUUUCUGUUAUUCUGUGACUCUAGCUUGUCUCCUCACAUGCAACAAGAGAGCAAUACUCAAGACAGAAGCUGGAGGACAAUUCUGCAGUACGCGGUCGCACGUGCUGGGAUUUCUGCAAUGCAAAGUAACACCUCCUGUUCUUUAAAAAUGUAUUUUAAAAAUACAUCCACUGAAAGCAAUGUUCCUCUUCUCCAGAGGGACUCUCUAGAGACUUCAACGCUUGAAAUCUGUUUGCUUUCUCUAGCGUCUCUUAACUUGAGCCGUGCUCCUGUUCUCAGAUCCUUUUUGUGCCUCUGCUGCUUUUUCCCCUUUUCCUCCUUUCCUGACUCCAGGGCCUCCCUGUUACUGGCUGCAAUAAGGCACCAGCUCUGGAAGGCCAAGGUCCUUUACUCUGCAGCACUCCUGCUGUGGCUAAGGGAGGGCAGCUGCUGGCAGUGUGAAUAGGAGCGAUAGGCUGCCUCUCAACACAAGUGCUCUAUUUAUGGGCUGUUAAGGACUCCUGAAAUAAUGCAGAGUUCUGGAUGUCUCCUUAUGAAGGCUGCAGAAAGAACUGUCUUUCCUGCUUCAUGGCUUACGACCAAAGCAGCUGCUGUGAGAUGGAGACUGUUAGAAAUACGAGGGUACCUGUGCCAGCUUCUGUCCUGUGUUGAUGCAAUUGCCUUGGCUAUGCUAGCACUGAGCAUUUGCAGAAUAGUUUUCAUCCGGUCUGGCCUAGACAUCCUCAUUUUCUAUCUAGAUUCACUUGACAGGAGCCAAAUGUUGCCCUUCCUUCAGUGAGAUUUAUUUCUCCCUCUCUGCUUGGCAGCUUACAUUUUCAAAAACUUGUACAAACACAGCCUCCCUCCCAAAUUGGCAACGAGAUUUAUAAGCAGUUGCAGAGCCACAUCCUCUUCUGCUCUGAGCAUCAGGAAACUUAACGCAAAAGGGCUGGAACAAGUGGAGGGGCUUGUUCUAGCAAGACCUGAAACAAACUGCCUCUUUGUUAAAAUGCCGCUUGCAAAAUUAGCAAAAAACAUAAUGCAGAAACGAAGGCAUGAGCACCCUGUGCAGACAAGCAAUGCUCCUGCUUGCCCACUGUCUUCAGCACCCGACCUUGGCUGGCAUCAGUGUUGCACCUUCAUCACAGUAGGUUAAGAAAGCCUGUCUGGCUCAAUUUCAGCUUCUGCCUAAUGGAAGAAGAGUAGAAACAAAGAUUUUGGGGCUGGACAGGGCUUUUGGAAGACUGUCCUGCUGCCCCAAGGUGAGAGUCGUAUAUAAAUAGGAUCAGUGUAUGCAUUAUUACGUGUUGUCAGAUGCAAUAAAUCCUUUGUAUCUUUACAUGCAGUAGAUUCAGGUAGAUCUGUGCUCUGUUGGUACUUUUCUCAGCAAAUGUAAUCUAAUGCUUACAGCAGGCUUCCUCAAGCACAAUGUGUUGUACUUCCCUCCCAGUACAAGCUGUCUCUGUUGGC